AGCAGUAGCCGCGGUAAUACGUAGGUCCCGAGCGUUGUCCGGAUUUAUUGGGCGUAAAGCGAGCGCAGGCGGUUAGAUAAGUCUGAAGUUAAAGGCUGUGGCUUAACCAUAGUAUGCUUUGGAAACUGUUUAACUUGAGUGCAGAAGGGGAGAGUGGAAUUCCAUGUGUAGCGGUGAAAUGCGUAGAUAUAUGGAGGAACACCGGUGGCGAAAGCGGCUCUCUGGUCUGUAACUGACGCUGAGGCUCGAAAGCGUGGGGAGCAAACAGGAUUAGAUACCCGAGUAGUCUCUGUCUCUUAUACA
rnacentral:rRNA from 1 species